GUGAGGAAUAUUGCGCAAUGGAGGCAACUCUGACGCAGCCAUGCCGCGUGCAGGAAGAAGGCGCUACGCGUUGUAAACUGCUUUUAACCGGGAAGAAACCCCAGGACGUGUCCUGGGUUGACGGUACCGGAGGAAUAAGCACCGGCUAACUUCGUGCCAGCAGCCGCGGUAAUACGAAGGGUGCAAGCGUUAUCCGGAUUCAUUGGGUUUAAAGGGUGCGUAGGCGGAGCGUUAAGUCAGUGGUGAAAUCCUGCAGCUUAACUGUAGACUUGCAAUUGAUACUGGCGCUCUUGAGUGCGCUUGAAGUGGGCGGAAUGUGCCGUGUAGCGGUGAAAUGCUUAGAUAUGGCACAGAACACCAAUUGCGAAGGCAGCUCACUAAGGCGAUACUGACGCUGAGGCACGAAAGCGUGGGGAUCGAACAGGAUUAGAAACCCCUGUAGUCC
rnacentral:rRNA from 1 species